rnacentral:rRNA from 1 species
CCGACACAGGUGGUCAGGUCGAGUAGACCAAGGCGCUUGAGAGAACUCUGCUGAAGGAACUAGGCAAAAUGGUACCGUAACUUCGGGAGAAGGUACGCUGUUGUUGGUGAUGGAACUCGCUUCCUGAGCUGACGACAGCCGCAGAAACCAGGCCGCUGCAACUGUUUAUUAAAAACAUAGCACUCUGCAAACACGAAAGUGGACGUAUAGGGUGUGAUGCCUGCCCGGUGCUGGAAGGUUAAUUGAUGGGGUUAGCGUAAGCGAAGCUCUUGAUCGAAGCCCCAGUAAACGGCGGCCGUAACUAUAACGGUCCUAAGGUAGCGAAAUUCCUUGUCGGGUAAGUUCCGACCUGCACGAAUGGCAUAAUGAUGGCGGCGCUGUCUCCAGCAGAGGCUCAGUGAAAUCGAAAUCGCUGUGAAGAUGCAGUGUACCCGCGGCUAGACGGAAAGACCCCGUGAACCUUUACUGCAGCUUGACACUGAACUUUGACCUUACUUGUGUAGGAUAGGUGGGAGGCUUUGAAGCUGGAACGCUAGUUCCAGUGGAGCCGUCCUUGAAAUACCACCCUGGUAAUGUUGAGGUUCUAACUCUGUCCCGUGAUCCGGGACGAGGACCGUGUCUGGUGGGUAGUUUGACUGGGGCGGUCUCCUCCUAAAGAGUAACGGAGGAGUACGAAGGUGCGCUCAGCGUGGUCGGAAAUCACGCGUAGAGUAUAAAGGCAAAAGCGCGCUUAACUGCGAGACCCACAAGUCGAGCAGGUACGAAAGUAGGUCUUAGUGAUCCGGUGGUUCUGUAUGGAAGGGCCAUCGCUCAACGGAUAAAAGGUACUCUGGGGAUAACAGGCUGAUACCGCCCAAGAGUUCAUAUCGACGGCGGUGUUUGGCACCUCGAUGUCGGCUCAUCUCAUCCUGGGGCUGAAGCAGGUCCCAAGGGUAUGGCUGUUCGCCAUUUAAAGAGGUACGCGAGCUGGGUUUAGAACGUCGUGAGACAGUUCGGUCCCUAUCUACCGUGGGCGCUGGAAAUUUGAGAGGAUCUGCUCCUAGUACGAGAGGACCAGAGUGGACGAACCUCUGGUGUACCGGUUGUGACGCCAGUCGCAUCGCCGGGUAGCUAUGUUCGGAAGGGAUAACCGCUGAAAGCAUCUAAGCGGGAAGCCUACCUCAAGAUAAGAUUUCCCUAGGACUUUAUGUCCUCUAAAGAGCCGUUCGAGACUAGGACGUUGAUAGGUUGGAUGUGGAAGCAUAGUGAUAUGUGAAGCUGACCAAUACUAAUUGCUCGUGAGGCUUGACUAU